UACGUAGGGUGCGAGCGUUGUCCGGAAUGACUGGGCGUAAAGGGCGCGUAGGCGGCCGAUUAAGUCUGGAGUGAAAGUCCCGCUUUUAAGGUGGGAAUUGCUUUGGAGACUGGUUGGCUUGAGUGCGGAAGAGGCAAGUGGAAUUCCCAGUGUAGCGGUGAAAUGCGUAGAGAUUGGGAGGAACACCAGUGGCGAAGGCGACUUGCUGGGCCGUAACUGACGCUGAGGCGCGAAAGCGUGGGGAGCGAACAGGAUUAGAUACCCUGGUAGUCCCU
rnacentral:rRNA from 1 species